rnacentral:rRNA from 1 species
CGGAAUUACUGGGCGUAAAGCGAGCGCAGACGAUUACUUAAGCAGGAUGUGAAAUCCCCGGGCUCAACCUGGGAACUGCGUUCUGAACUGGGUGACUAGAGUGUGUCAGAGGGAGGUAGAAUUCCACGUGUAGCAGUGAAAUGCGUAGGGAUGUGGAGGAAUACCGAUGGCGAAGGCAGCCUCCUGGGAUAACACUGACGUUCAUGCUCGAAAGCGUGGGUAGCAAACAGGAUUAGAUACCCUGGUAGUCAAGGGCG